UUCUUGAACCAGUGUUCCCAAAUCUCAAGUGACUGUGAAAGACCCCAGGGAGGGGAGACCCUCACUCAAGCCUUAGGAUAAUGCGAUCCCCCAUGAACUCAAGAGAGACC
rnacentral:pre_miRNA from 14 species